AAUUAAGAUAUCAGCUGGCUUUCCAGAGGGCAUGGAGGUCAUCUUCCCAGCAAAUAAUGGCAACAUUACACAUCUCAGAACUUUAUCUGCCCGGUGUUCAUCAUUGGGACGUAUCCGGAUUUUUUCUUUAAUAGUGAAACUAUUCUCUGUUUCUGUCGAUGUGGCAUCAGCAGUUUACAAUUCAAACCUACUUAGUUUGUUGGAGGCAGAAGUCAGAAAUUCAGAUGAUACCCUAGCAACUUUAAAUGUUUUGGAGCUCUUUUAUGAGUUAGCAGAAGUCCAGCAUGGUACAGAGUUCUUGUCAAGGACCGCUCUUAUCCAACUUCUUUCGUCUAUGAUCAGCAACACAUCAAUGGAUGCAAUAUUAAGAUCAAGAGCAAUGAUGAUAAGUGCAAGGCUUCUAUCCAAGGAAAAUAUAUUCACAUUCAUUGAUGAAUCUUGUGUUAAAACUGUUGUAUCAGCCAUCGACGGAAGACUUCAAUCAGCGAGUCAAGAUUUGAACGAAUGUGAAUGCGCACUUGAAGCAUUGGGGCAAAUUGGAUCGUCAAUCCCAGGAGCAAUGCUGCUGCUCUGUAUGUUACCUCCGGCUGCAAGACAUGUUAUUAAUGCUGCCUUUGAUAGACAAGCACGUGGCAAUCAGUUGGCUGCAUUGCAUUCUCUUGGAAACAUAUCAGGAGAGUCUCGGUUGGAGAGCGACAUAAUGCUUAAUUCUGAUGCAGAAGAAAAUCUUCGACGCUUGAUCUAUGAAACGGCAUCCAAGACUUCAGAGCUGACACCAUCAGGUCUUUUCUUAUCAGUUCUUCAACAGGAUUCAGAAGUUCGUUUGGCGGCUUACAGAAUGAUAACUGGUUUGGUGGCUCGGCCUUGGUGCCUGAUGGAGAUAUGCUCAAAACAGGAGAUUGUAAAUAUAGUAACCGAUCCAAAUACUGAAACCACAAAAAUAGGUAUGGAAGCUAGAUAUAAUUGUUGCAAGGCAAUCCAAAAGGCUUUCAUGGCCUCUGGUAAACUUGGCACUAAUCCUGCUCUUGUUGGAAUUGCUACCAAGUUGCAGGAAUCUGUUAGCAGAGGUCCAUAUCUCACCGGCAAGCCUCGUGAAGCACAACCUGUAGUAAUGACAGCUGACAGAUUCUAAUUUCCUUGAAGAACAUACUUUACUUAAGUAGACAAGAUGUGGACUAUUUUCACACAGCUUUUGAUCUAACAUUUUGUAAUAUUAGUUUGGAAGCUCACCCUUUGCGCAAAUAUUUAAUAUUUUACCCUUGGAUUGGAUUUAGGAAAUCAGAACUCUUUCUGACGGUGAAUCUCUCUUUUCUUCGUUGUGGACGCGUGAAAGGAAGAGAGCUGAUAGCUAACCUAAAUUUUCACCUUCCUUUGGCUUGCAUAUAUGUGGAACUUGAUUUCUAUAAAUUGAAUAUUUUUUUUUUUAAAAGAAA
rnacentral:misc_RNA from 1 species